rnacentral:rRNA from 1 species
GACGAACGCUGGCGGCGUGCUUAACACAUGCAAGUCGAACGGAAAGGCCCUGCUUGCAGGGUACUCGAGUGGCGAACGGGUGAGUAACACGUGGGUGAUCUGCCCUGCACUUAGGGAUAAGCCUGGGAAACUGGGUCUAAUACCGGAUAGGAGCCAUUUUUAGUGUGAUGGUUGGAAAGUUUUUUCGGUGUAGGAUGAGCUCGCGGCCUAUCAGCUUGUUGGUGGGGUAAUGGCCUACCAAGGCGGCGACGGGUAGCCGGCCUGAGAGGGUGGACGGCCACAUUGGGACUGAGAUACGGCCCAGACUCCUACGGGAGGCAGCAGUGGGGAAUAUUGCACAAUGGGCGCAAGCCUGAUGCAGCGACGCCGCGUGGGGGAUGACGGCCUUCGGGUUGUAAACUCCUUUCGCUAGGGACGAAGCUUUUUGUGACGGUACCUAGAUAAGAAGCACCGGCUAACUACGUG